rnacentral:tRNA from 1 species
AAAAAGAUAAGCUAAAUUUAAGCUAUUGGGUUCAUACCCCGAAUAUAAAGCACCACUUUUCUUUUUA